GAAAGAAGAAAAGAUGGGAGAGUCUUCUUAGACAUAUAUAUUCACUUUCAAUUGAUUUUAUUUAUUUAUUUGUUUUUUAAGAGAAAGAUAGUAUGCUAUUCGAUUUGUUUAUUUAUUUAGAAUGAGAUUCAGAUAAAUAUAAGGGUGCGUUUGGUUCGCAUUAUGAAAGAUUACUAGGAAUAGAAGAUAUUCGAGAAUCUUAUUCAUAUUUAUCCUAUUACUAAGAAUAUGGAAUUCAUGUGUUUGGUUCACACGGUAAUAUUAAUUAGUCAUAUUAUUUAAUAUUACAAAAAAUAUACAAUUAAUUUAUUUAUUUAAUUAAUUUUAUAUAAUGUUACUAAAAAUUUCAACAUCUUUUUAGAAAAAAAGGGAGAGAGAGUAUAAGUUAGAGAGAGAGAGCAUAAUUAAAAAAAAAGAAAGAAAAAUAUAGUCGAAAUUAGAGGGAGUGAGAGAGAGUUGAAAUUUUAGAAAGAGAGAGAGAGAGAAAACUUAGUUUAGAGUGAGAAAAAAAAGUUGAAUUUUAGAGAGAAAAAUUAGUUUAGAGAGAGAUAUAAGAUUAGAGUGUAAAAAAAAAUAAUAUCAAUUAGCCGGCGGGUAAGAAGAAAGAAAGAUAUUAGAUAUAUUAUGAUUACCUUAAUCCAUUAAUAUGAGGAUACCCACCUUCCCUCAAGAGAAUGAGAUUAGUACUUUGGGAUGAAUCUUAUUCCCAAAUGAAUCCAAUAUAACCAACUAGAUUACUUAGUGCGUUUAGCCAAACAUCAUUAUAUAUUUUUAUUCCCAUUAAAUUACUAGAAAUCUUUAAAAAAUAGUGCGAACUAAACGCACCCUAAAUGUUUGAACGAAAACUCCCGAUAACUCGUACAUCCUUUU
rnacentral:lncRNA from 1 species